AACAAGGUGCACAGGGAAAACAGAAAGAGGAUGGCCGUUCCCAGGGCAGAAUUGCCAAGGAAGCCAUUUUCCCUCCUUGGGCUCCAUUUGCAGGCAUCUUGCUUCUGAUGGAGAUGAGCCCCAGGUUUUUCCAAGGCCGUGUAUGUGUGCUGUUGGGAGGGGGCACAAACUGAGGACUAGUGGGAUGGGCAUCCGGGCAAGUUGGGCAGGUGGGGCGAAAGCACUGAGGGGAUUCAUCUUUUUUCCAGGCCAUCGCAUGGAUGUUAACCAGGAGCCCCGUUCACAUCUUUUCAGUUUGGCCAGGUUUUUCAAAGGAUGAAAAUAACUGCAGAGGUAAUCAAACUGCUGGAUAUUCUAGUGGGGGAAGUGUAGCUUAAACGUGCCAAAAUGCAGCUUCUGCCAAAAGCUGCUCGAUGAACGAGACGGUUUUUGUGAUCUGGUGUUCACUUCCCUCUUUUCGUAAGCAGGAGUGAAGAAUAACUGUUUUGGCAAGAGCUGGACGUGUGGUCUGUCCCAUGAGCAGGCUGGCUGGCACAGUGCACCACAUUCGCAGAGCCUGGGCAGCCCUACAGUUCACAGCAAGUUAAAAUCACCGGGCUUAUUUUGUUUGCAGCCUGAUGAGGUGCCCCGGGGGCCCCAGCACUGUGAUUCAGCAGUGCUAACACAACCUCUGCCAUCUCCACGCAUGGACUUUGCAAAGCACAGCUUGCCAUCCUUUAUUUCUUAGGAAUAAAAACUGAUAGCCAGGCCUGGCUCCUAUCGGGGCAAGGCACAGAUCUCUCCCGUGAACAGGACAGCAGACUUUGCAAGAGUAUUUUUGGGGUUCUACAUUUUCUAGAUAAUUACAGUAAAACAUGGAAUUUUGUGAUGAAAGCCAUAGUUAAAGUGCAGUGUUGAAAGCCUUUAAAAAGUCUGUAUUCAGUACGAACUUAGCAGGAAAACAUCUGUGUGUACAGGAAUGGGAACCUGAUGCCUGCAGCAAGUCUCGCCUCAUACAAAUAUAAGUUCAGGUUUGAAACUCGUAACUCAGGGUUCAGUCUCUCAUAUUAAUGUGAAAAAAACCUUUAAGAAUCAAUUGGAGAUUUCUGUUGUCAGAGCAAGGCCACGAACUGAGGCUCUUCAGCCUCUGAGUGCCACUUCUAAAAUCUCAAGGUACUCUGUACUCUUCGUGUCAAAAACAGGGGGGGAACUACAUGAGUGAUAGCUGUUACUUCUCAGCUAGUACUGAAGCGAGGGGUCCUGCCUGUUUGUACCAAAAGCAGCAUCAGCAAACCAGUGUGUGCAACCAAGCCCAGGCAUUUAAAAAAGCUGAAGCAUAUGUCAUCAACCUGCAAGAGAGGUCAGAAAACCAGGAGACAUUAUAGUCCAUUCUAAUUGCCCUCUUUUUUCUUGCCAGUGUCCCUUCAGAACUUGGUUUGCAAGAGCUUUUCCCUGCUGAAGGCGUUCAGCUGUCACUUUUGUUUUCACCUCCUUUGUUACUCUGAGCUUUCACUCCAAAAAAUGGGAUUUAUUACUACAGAAAUUGAGAUAGCAGGGAAACGCAGCGAUGUCUGGAGACUCGGACUGAGGUCAACAAGAGUGAGCAAUAGAACCAUGUAUAACAAAACAGGGAUACAACAAAUAAGAGCAGCCGAUGUAUUUAUAUCUCCUUCCUCAUUGAUGAGAUAGAAAAUGGACACAAACCCACGAAAGAAAAUCCUCUAAUGAGCCCAAAGCGUGAACAAGAGAGAGACGGAGCCUUGGCACAACUUCUGGAUCUCCUACGUUGCCAUCUGAUAGCAGCGCUCGUCUUGUGUGGCACUUGGCACCCACCGAAGGACUUUUAGGCAGGGCUUUUCACAAGUAACUGUGAAGUCUCUGCAUGGUGCGAGCUCUGGAAUUCACUCAGAAGGUGAUGAUAACUCCAGAAUCUGCUGAAAAAGUAACCCUGGUCUCGUCCUCUUGUGGCAGCCUGAAGUUGGAGUGGGUGAGACUGGCCGGGCCACUCAGGGAUGGACACGUGUGAGACUUUCUCCUACUGACUGGGAAAGGACUCGGUGGAGGAAGUAAAUUAGGAUGCUUAAUUAACAGGCCGAGGUAAUUAGUGCAUGCCCAGCUUCAGGACUGCUGGGAAGGUACAGAAGUCAAUGGGAAGAGCCAGGUGAGGUUUGGUAGGUGUUAAUCCGGUGCUUUGUCUGCUAAAUCUCUGCUGGGAUGAGCAAGCACUGGUUAUGUGACCCUGGUUAUGGGAUACUGCAGGCUCAGGAGAGCCCGGUUGGGUUUAAUGCUCGAAUUUCCCCAAAAUGUGGAUCCUGCUCUUAAAUAACAGCAGUAAAGCUAUUCUACAUU
ensembl:lncRNA